rnacentral:tRNA from 1 species
AGCUCAGUGGUAGAGCACUUGCAUAGCAUGCAUGAGGACCUGGGUUCAAUUCCCAG